rnacentral:rRNA from 1 species
UGCCUGCCCGGUGAUUUUUAUUAAACGGCUGCGGUACUCUGACCGUGCAAAGGUAGCAUAAUCAUUAGCCUGUUAAUUCCAGGCUGGAAUCAACGGCAAGACGGAGAAAAGACUGUCUCUUUAUAUUAAUUUGAAAUUUUCAUAUUGGUAAAAAGACCAAUAUUGGUUAGUGGGACGAGAAGACCCUAUUGAGUUUUAGUUUUAUUAUAGAAAAUAGCUAAUUUAUAAUAAGAUUUUAGUUGGGGCAACUAUUUAUUUUAUAAAACAUAAGUAAUUUUAUUUGAAUUGAAUCAAUUAGAAGACCCUAAACUUUAGUUUUAGGAAGGGAGAAAAAAUUACCAUAGGGAUAACAGCGUAAUUCUUUUUGAGAGUACUUAUUGACAAAAGAGUUUGCGACCUCGAUGUUGGAUCAAGAAAACCUGGGGAUGCAGCAGUUUCCUGGGGUUGGUUUGUUCAACCAUUAAAAUCUU